UUAGCUCAAUUUAAUUACUUUAGUUCAAUUUUCUGAUUAUUUACGUCUGCACAGAUCAAACUUUUGGAGAAAAAAUAAUGUGUGUGAUUGAAUUGUGAUACUAAGAAUGGAAACUGAUUAGACAUAGCUCAAAAUGGGUGAAGCUUAUAUUUUCAAGCUUUCCUUUAUCCUCAACAUCUGCUUAAGGCUUUUCAGUUGAGAUAUUAUUGGAGUGGUGUUUUUCUGAUUUGACUCUGGCAAUGACAGAAACGAGUUUGGAGUAGAAUCUCAGCCAAAAGAGGCUGAGGAAAGUGUGAGCUCCAUGUUGUGACAAAGCUAAUGUCAAAAAAGGACAGUGGUCUCCUGAGGAAGAUAAAGCUAAGUCUUGGGACUCAUGGAACUGGUGGCAAUUGGAUUCAUCUGCCACAAAAAGCUGGCUUUUAGAUUCUUCAACAAGAAUCAAGUUGACCACAUUAAGGGUGAUCAGAACAGUGGUUUUCUAAUAAAUAAGCCAAGCUGCCGAAAUUGCAGACAGUCACCCCUCAAUUUGGAACUUUGUUUCUUCCAUGACUUGGCAUCUGAGUAAUCGACUGCAAUACUUUGAAGGUUAAGCAAUAUCAGUAUACCAAAGAUACAAAACAAAUUGCUUCUAAAAAGUCAUGGUUCUCUUACGAAUCUGGUCUGGGAAUGGCUUCCUGUGAUUUUGAUCAUUGAUUUAUUUGUAUUAUCCUCCAACACUGUGGCACUCAAAGGUCAGACGAUAAAGUAUUUACAGUCUUGGACAUCAUUUUACACUUUUCAAUUUCAAUAUAUGCAUCACUAUUUAUGCCUGGUAAAUGCUAAAUGCAUAUAUCCACGUAGUUUAGUGUUGUUUAAUGAUGUUCAUGAUGUAAAUAGAUACUUCUUCUUGAUUUGAUGUGGAGGUGUGCAUUAGCUAAUAUUAUGUUUUCAUAGCAUUUCUUAAAUUCUCCAUCUGCAAGAUUUUUUAACUUUGGAUGAUGACUGCAGUUGAACAUCUUUCUUUUUCUUCUUUGGGUGAAACAGUGAUAACUCGAUCAGCUAUGAGUAGGUGUAUAGCAGCCUCCUUCAGUACUCAUGUUGUAAAGUUUUUAGUUACACAAAGGUGCUGAACUUGGGAACUUUGAGAUCUUUUCUCACAUGUUGUUUGUUAUAGGAGAGAUCUUCUAUCAUUGUUGUGUCUGAAAUCUCUUUCUUUGAGAAAUGCAGCACUUUUGAAAAUUGUUUUUGUUAUUUCCUGCAUAGGAAGAGGCAGUGACAGAUUAUUAAUAUGAAUGUUGUAAAAUAUGUUGCAGUAAACAUGUAAAAUGUUUGUCAUUAAUGAAAUCGAUAUCUGAUAGCUUUUAGUUCUCCUUACAA